GAGAUUUCACGUUUGAUUACUCGACGAGGCAUAGUCGUUACAUGGUGAAUUACAACACUUUGGUGAUCCAGGCGGGCUUCCUUCAGGACUUUAUGUUCAACGAAAAUAUGCCUUUGGUUUUAAACCUAGCGACAGCAGGACGGUCUAUGGCCCACGAGAUUACCCACGGCUUUGGCGAUAAAGGU